CACCUGAACAUCCACUGCCAUGAGUACUGCUUCAGGUGUGGAAUUUGCCACAAAGCAAUGGGAGAGCUGCUGGAUAAAAUAUUCAUCCACCGCGACAUUGUCCACUGUGACAAGUGCUACGAGAAGCUCUUCUAGGGCCCCGCGGAGCUGGGAAUGCAGCCGGUGCCCGGCGGCUCGUCUGGGAAUACCGCAGCUCCUGAGUGGCUGAGAUUGCAGAAUUCCUGCUCCCCGCUUUCCUCGAGUUCUUUUCCGCUCUCGCUGCCCCGUGGCCGUGGAUGAGUUCAGCACCUGCUGGUUGAUGCUGUCACCUGCACCAGAUAAGAGUGAUGACAACGAGAUAAGGCAGCCUUCCUCCUCAAAGAUAACAUUUUCCAGAGGUGCUGAGCCCUUCAGCCUGGCUUUAGCUGCAUGAAGAGUCGAGUGCUCCCGGAGCUGGGAGUCAGGCACAGCUCCUCAGGUUCAUCCCAGCUAAUUGCCACAAGUCUCUGCUGAUGAUAUUUGUAUUUCUUUCCCUUGUGCAGCCAGGCUGUGCGAGCUGGCACACAAACACCAGGAGCCUUAAACUCUAAAUUUGGAUUCUUGGGAGAUUUGAAUUUAGUCCUUAGCAAAAGCCUAUUUCUGCGUCUUUCACCCCCAAAUUCAGCCUAGAAAUAGCUUCUGCCUGAUUUCCAUUUGCUUUCUCCAGGAUUCCAGGAGCACUUGCAAACUCUAUUCUAAUUGUGUGUCAGCUUUAAUUCCCCUUCCUGCGUCUUCCCUGAGGAUGCUGCAGCAGCACUUGUGGCUGCUGCCUGUUUGGGGAGAUAACAGUGUCCUUCCCUGGUGUUUAACUUGGGCUCUGAGGGCAGGUGUCCUGUGCCAGAGCAGGGGCAUCUCCAUUCCCUCUCCUGACAAAGAGCUCUGCUCAGCUGAAAUCCCACUUUCCCCCCUCAUCAGGGCUUUGCCCAGGCCUCUCACUGCUGCAGAUCACUCACAGCCCAAAUGCUCCCUAACAACAUUGAACUUCCAGCAGAUGCUGCACUCAGUAAAAUCAGAAUUGUGUCGUUUUAGCCCUUAACUCAGAGCUGAGAGGUUGGGAAUGCUGAAUAGUGAAACCUGAAAGUCAGGUGUCCUAAAAGGGCCCAGAUGUACUGUUUCCUCUUGGGAAGCAUUAGGAGCCAUAGAACUAGAGAAUCCUUAAAGUUCAUCUAUUUUAAAGUUCAAGGCAGGAACCAAGCUCCAUCCAGCCUGGCCUUGGACACUUCCAGGGAUCCAGGGGCAGCCACAGCUUCUCUGGGCAACCAACGCUUCCCCAUCCUCACAGCCAAGAAUUGCCAAAAACCAAGCUUCUCCUAAAAUCCUGUGAUUACCUGGGGAAAAAAGGAACCCUGAUCCCCCAUGUGAAUUUUUGUUUGUGUUGAGAGCAGCUGAGGGAGCUGGGAAAGAGGCUCAACCUGAAGGAAAAGAGGCUAAGAAGGGACCUUCUGACUGUGCACAAUCCCUGACAGGAGAGGUUUUUCCCCUUAAAGACAUGUAUCACCCCAAAGGAACCUGCAGCUAUUAUAAAAAUGUUAUGCUUUAUAAUUUGUAUUGAUCUGAGCUUUGAAGAAUUGCUGACCUACCCCCCAUGAAUAAAAAACAAAUGAAUUAUUCAAAGAGCUGAAUCUUCCUGGUGUUUGUGGAGAAAGGUCACCUGCACACAGAUUUUUUUCCUACAUGAUGGAUGAGGUCAUGCAUUUUCUUUCACAAAAAGGUCUUGGGAUUCU
rnacentral:lncRNA from 1 species